rnacentral:rRNA from 1 species
GAUGAACGCUAGCGGCAGGCCUAACACAUGCAAGUCGAGGGAGAAGCCCUUUCGGGGGCAGAAACCGGCGCACGGGUGCGUAACGCGUAUGCAACCUACCUUUCACAGGGGGAUAGCCCGAAGAAAUUUGGAUUAAUACCCCAUAAUAUUAUUGGAUGGCAUCAUUUGAUAAUUAAAACUGCGGUGGUGAAAGAUGGGCAUGCGUCCUACUAGCUAGUUGGAGUGGUAACGGCACCCCAAGGCUACGAUAGGUAGGGGUCCUGAGAGGGAGAUCCCCCACACUGGUACUGAGACAGGGACCAGACUCCUACGGGAGGCAGCAGUGAGGAAUAUUGGUCAAUGGUCGGAAGACUGAACCAGCCAUGCCGCGUGCAGGAAGAAUGCCUUAUGGGUUGUAAACUGCUUUUAUAUGGGAAGAAUAAGGUGUAGCGUGUACAUUGAUGAC